CGCGGUAAUACGAGGGGGCAAGCGUUAUCCGGAAUCACUGGGCGUAAAGGGUCCGCAGGUGUCCCGUUAAGUUAGAUGUUAAAUCGCAAGGCUCAACCUUGCGGCUGCAUCUAAUACUGACAGGAUAGAGGAUAGGUGACGGAAGUGGAAUUCCUGGUGGAGAGGUAAAAUCCGUAGAUAUCAGGAGGAACACCCGUGGCGUAGGCGGCUUCCGAACCUAUUCCUGACACUCAGGGACGAAAGCUAGGGGAGCAAACAGGAUUAGAUACCCUGGUAGUCCUAGCUGUAAACGAUGAAUACUAGAUAGUGGGUGCUACACCGUACUCACCGUCGUAGCUAACGCGUUAAGUAUUUCGCCUGGGAACUACGAUCGCAAGUUUGAAACUCAAAGGAAUUGACGGGUCCCCGCACAAGCAGCGAGGCAUGUGGCUUAAUUCGAUGCAACACGAAGAACCUUACCUGGACUUGACAUGUUUCUGAAAGGCCGGAGAAACCCGGUCCCUUCCAGUUUACUGGAACAGUUUCACAGGUGGUGCAUGGUUGUCGUCAGCUCGUGUCGUGAGAUGUAAGGUUAAGUCCUUAAACGAGCGUAACCUUUGUCAUUAGUUGCCACCGGUUCGGCCGAGCACUCUAAUGAGACCGCUAGCGACAAGCUAGAGGAAGAUGGAGAUGACGUCAAAUCCUCACGUCCCUUAUGUCCAGGGCCGCACACAUGCGACAAUGGUAGAGACAGCGGGUUGCGACGGGGUAACCCUGAGCUAAUCCAUAAACUCUGCCUCAGUACAGAUCGAGGGCUGAAAUUCGACCUCGUGAAGAUGGAGUUGCUAGUAAACGCAGGUCAGCUAUACUGCGUUGAAUACGUUCCCGGGGAUUGCA
rnacentral:rRNA from 1 species